AUGAACGCUGGCGGCGUGCCUAAUACAUGCACGUCGAGCGAACAGACGAGGAGCUUGCCCCUCUGACGUUAGCGGCGGACGGGUGAGUAACACGUGGAUAACCUACCUAUAAGACUGGGAUAACUUCGGGAAACCGGAGCUAAUACCGGAUAAUAUAUUGAACCGCAUGGUUCAAUAGUGAAAGACGGUUUUGCUGUCACUUAUAGAUGGAUCCGCGCCGCAUUAGCUAGUUGGUAAGGUAACGGCUUACCAAGGCAACGAUGCGUAGCCGACCUGAGAGGGUGAUCGGCCACACUGGAACUGAGACACGGUCCAGACUCCUACGGGAGGCAGCAGUAGGGAAUCUUCCGCAAUGGGCGAAAGCCUGACGGAGCAACGCCGCGUGAGUGAUGAAGGUCUUCGGAUCGUAAAACUCUGUUAUUAGGGAAGAACAAAUGUGUAAGUAACUAUGCACGUCUUGACGGUACCCAAUCAGAAAGCCACGGCUAACUACGUG
rnacentral:rRNA from 1 species